CGGAGGUGACACUAUGUGACAUUAUGCCACAUUCGUCUUGGAAUGUAGUCACUAGACUCCAUCGAGAUGCAGACCUUGUCCUGGGAAUCCUUCUUGGAGCAACUGAAAAGAGCUCCCCCUUCUCCUGAAUUUGAAGCUGGGAAGGUAUAUAGCCUCUGAGGAUGCAUGAUGUGUUGGAAGAAGCAGAAGUGAACCACGCAGAAAGACCAAGUCCUGUUGAUUAAGACCCUUCAGAAACUACUCAUCUUGGACUCUGUUUCUUGCCACAAGGAACCCUGACUCACCGUUUGUGAAGGGCAGAGGCAGAGAGGAGCUGUCUCAGAAGCCAGAACAUUGGUCUUCUUAGUGCAUUUCCAGGAGUAGUAAUUCUCUGCUUUGCCUGUGAGUCUAGGGUUAUGCAGUACAGGAAAACCAAGUGACAUUAGAUAGAUUUUUUUCAUCAAAAUUGCCUCUGCAGCUGAGAUAAAGAACAGAGGAAUCCUCUUCAGGAGAUCCCCUGAUGUCCUUAUGGAGGGGUCUCUCCCUUCACAACCAACCACCUCCUUCCCACCCACUUUCCUGUCUUCCACACCAGAAAUUGCCUCAGGCAAGCCAAGAGACUUUGUGGUCCACUGAAUGAAAGAGAUGUGGAGACAGCACGGUACAGGGGGCCACGUAGAAAAUGAAGAUGAGUAAGUCUGCAGGUCUGCUCUGGAGGGAAUUGAGCGGACCUGAGAGAGGCCGUGAUGACCAGUGGAAGAGGAGGGACUGAGGCGUGCGGCAAGAUGCUUGUUCAGGGUCCCGCAGACCAGCUCUUGUGAUGACAAGACCGUGGCUCCUUCUGGUUGGUGAAAUCUGCUUCUCUCCCUGAGCCAGGAGGAGUGGGCCACUAGCACAGAGUUCUCUUCCUGUA